rnacentral:rRNA from 1 species
UACGGGGGGGGCGAGCGUUGUUCGGAAUUACUGGGCGUAAAGGGUUUGUAGGUGGUCUGCUAAGUCAGACGUGAAAUCCCUCAGCUUAACUGGGGAACUGCGUCUGAUACUGGCGGACUUGAGGACAGGAGAGGAACGCGGAAUUCCAGGUGUAGCGGUGAAAUGCGUAGAUAUCAGGAGGAACACCAAUGGCGAAGGCAGCUCGCUGGGACGUGACUGACGCUGAGACGCGAAAGCGUGGGGAGCAAACAGG